GUGGGGAAUAUUGGACAAUGGGGGAAACCUUGAUCCAGCGACGCCGCGUGAGUGAAGAAGUAUUUCGGUAUGUAAAGCUCUAUCAGCAGGGAAGAAAAUGACGGUACCUGACUAAGAAGCCCCGGCUAACUACGUGCCAGCAGCCGCGGUAAUACGUAGGGGGCAAGCGUUAUCCGGAUUUACUGGGUGUAAAGGGAGCGUAGACGGCACUGCAAGUCUGGAGUGAAAGCCCGGGGCUCAACCCCGGGACUGCUUUGGAAACUGUGGUGCUGGAGUGCAGGAGAGGUAAGUGGAAUUCCUAGUGUAGCGGUGAAAUGCGUAGAUAUUAGGAGGAACACCAGUGGCGAAGGCGGCUUACUGGACUGUAACUGACGUUGAGGCUCGAAAGCGUGGGGAGCAAACAGGAUUAGAAACCCUUGUAGUCC
rnacentral:rRNA from 1 species